rnacentral:rRNA from 1 species
CCUACGGGUGGCAGCAGUGAGGAAUAUUGGUCAAUGGGCGCGAGCCUGAACCAGCCAAGUCGCGUGAAGGAUGACUGCCCUACGGGUUGUAAACUUCUUUUAUCAAGGAAUAAAGUGAGGCACGUGUGCCCGUAUGUAUGUACUUUAUGAAUAAGGAUUGGCUAACUCCGGGCCAGCAGCCGCGGUAAUAAGGAGGAUCCGAGCGUUAGCCGGAUUUAUUGGGGUUAAAGGGAGCGUAGAUGGGUUGUUAAGUCAGUUGUGAAAGUUUGCGGCUCAACCGUCAUAUUGCAAUUGAUACUGGCAGUCUUGAGUAAAGUUGAGGUAGGCGGAAUUCGUGGUGUAGCGGUGAAAUGCUUAGAUAUCACGAAGAACUCCGAUUGCGAAGGCAGCUUACUAGACUGCCACUGACAUUGAUGCUCGAAAGUGUGGGUAUCAAACAGGAUUAGAUACCCUUGUAGUC